GUUAGCCAGAUGACCGCAGUGUAACUGUUAUGGUUACAAUGAGGAAAGUCCGAGCCUUAUAGAACAGGGUGCCAGUUAAUUGCUGGUGAAGGCGACUUUAAGGAAAGUGCAACAGAAAAUAUACCGCCCACAUAAUCGUGAGUAAGGUUGAAAUGGAGGUGUAAGAGACCACCGGCUGUUUGGUAACAAAUAGCGCAUUGUAAACCCCACCCAAGGCAAGGUUAAAAAAGACACAUAUGUUGUUCGCAUCGUCUUUUAAAAAUACCGCUUGAUUGCAAUGGAGACAUUGCAACUAGAUAGAUGGUCAUCAAAUACAGAACUCGGCUUAUAGACUAACUA
rnacentral:RNase_P_RNA from 1 species